AGAGUUCAGGUGUGCCCAAAAAAGAAGAAAGGUUCAAGAACUACAUCCGCUCAACAUUUCACAUGUCAGACUUAAAGAAACUGAGCGAUGUAUGGAGCUGGUACAAAGCCUCAUUGCAGAAAUGAACCCCCCCCCCUCCCCCCCUACACCUGGCUGCUACACAGAAUCAAGUCCUACUCACCCUGAGUCAUACCUGAAGAUUUCCUCUCUGUCACAAUCCCUUGUUCCCUUUCCUCGUCAGAUAAGAAGACAUUCAUUUCUUCAUGUGUUCUUCAAACUCCUUACAGAGAUCAGUGGCAAGCCAAAGGUAUUUUUAUGUUGGCCUUAACAAGAUACAAAUCAUAUUUUAGUUGUUUUCUUGCCCUUUAUUGUAUUCAUUACUUGCAACAGUGAAAAGGAAAAUUGUGGGUGUUUUUUGUGCAAGUAUUAUAAUUUGCAUUCCUUUUCUAUGGUACUAGGUUAACGUUCUGAAGAUAAUAAGUUGAUUUAAAAAGGUAAAUUGUGAAGACACAAUCAAGACAGUUUAAUAGUUGGUUACAAUACAUGGGAUAGGUUCCAAGUUCAUCAUGUCAAGUUGAUUAAUUUAUUUCAGCAUAUUUUGCUUGUAGCAUAUACAUGGACAAUUUAUGAUAUGUUGGUUUUUGGGGUCCUUAAUUAUGUGCUCGUUCAUAAGUAUUCAUUACUGUGUAAUUGUGUUGAGGAAGGCCAGUGUACCACAUCUUUGUUUAAAUCAUGAUAACUUAGAAUUCUUGAAAAUGCAAAUAUUAUUUAAAAUAUGGAGAUAAUCUCCAGGGUAAAAUACUUUGACUAUCAAAACAUAAUUAUUUUCUCAUGAAAUAAAAGUUCAUAAUUUUGCAUAAA